GGACGCAGGAGGCGGAGCCAUGGUCGGGGCGCGCUCUCAGCCCGGGUGGGGGCGGCGCUGCGCAGGCCCAGUAGAUGCGGAACUGGAGCGCCGGGUGGCGCGCGGGGCGCUGGCUGCAGGGAUCCGGCAGGGGGCGCUGCUGAGAGGCGCGAGAAGGUGGUGGGGCAAGAGAACCAGCCCCUAAUAUCAGCUGUCCAGUAGCAGUAGUCAGCCCCUAGGGUGCCUCAUGUCCCAACCCAGCUCUCCUGAGGGCCUAGCCACAAGCUCCUGCCCCGCUGCAGAUCAGGUCUCAGCAGGAAACACCCUGUGGGCCAACAUCAGGGCAUUGCUGCCCAACACUAAAGAAGACCUGAAAUUGGACUUCAGCGAGAAAGUGGAGGAAAGUGUCAUCUCACUGCUGCAGCAAGCUAGAGACCUUCUCUAUGGAGCUGGAAGCCUCUGCUCUGGAAGCACAAGGGAAACCUGCUUACAAGUCAGUGAGAUAAUAAUAGAUUACUCUUGGGAAAAGCUUAAUAUUGGGACUUGGAGAGAUGUGGACAAGGACUGGCGACGAGUCUAUUCUUAUGGCUGCCUUUUCAAAGCGCUGUGUAUGUGCAGUGAGCAAGGCACCAUAGCAGAUACAAUUCGGCUCUGUGACAUGGGACUGCUGAUGGGAGCAUCCAUAUUGGAUAACAUCCUGGUUAGGAUAAUUAAUGUCCUUCAGAAGCAUCUGACGUAUGGGAAACGGUUUGCUGAAGAAGACACAAAGGAGUCAUGUAGAAAGAAAAUCCGGAAUGACCACACGACCGUUCCAUCAAUAAAGUCAAAAGAAGUUAUUCCACGGGUCCACUGCCCUUCUCUAGAGCAUUUCAGAGAUAAUUAUUUGAUUCCACAAAAGCCUGUCAUCCUGGAGGGUAUUGUUGACCACUGGCCAUGUAUGAAGAAAUGGAGUCUGGAUUAUCUCCGUCAAAUCGCCGGCUGCCGCACUGUCCCUGUGGAAGUGGGUUCCCGGUACACCGAUGAGGAAUGGUCUCAGACACUCAUGAUUGUCAAUGACUUCAUCGAUCAGUAUAUCGUGAACAAGAAUAGCAUUGGAUACCUUGCCCAGCAUCAACUUUUUGAUCAGAUCCCAGAACUGAAGCAGGAUAUUUGCAUCCCUGAUUACUGCAGCCUCGGGGAAGGGGAAGAAGAUAACAUCACCAUUAAUGCUUGGUUUGGCCCAGAGGGAACUAUCUCACCUCUUCAUCAGGAUCCACAGCAAAAUUUCUUAGUCCAGGUGAGGAACCCAGGCACAGAAAGGAGAAGUGAGUUUCCCAAGGUCACACCUGGAGUCCAUGGCAGAGCUGGGAAGAACCCAUUUCUCCAGAUUCCCUGCAUGGGGCAUUAUCCAUAAAACCUUCCUUUUCCUCUCUAGGAUGCAGCAGAGUUUUGUGUGAAUUUAUACCACAAGGGCAAAUAACACCAUCAGCCCUGAUUAUCUUAUGAAAUAGCUCUUUGUAUUCCAUGAAAAUUCAGAGUUUAAACCAUGUUCUCACCCUAGCCAAAUUAGUGCUAUUCUCAGAUGAAAGAAAGAUUAUUGCUGGUAGGUUUAUUAAUGUUUACAUUACAGAAGCACCCAGAGGCUCCGAUCAGGAUUGGGGCUACUUUGUACUAGCGCAGCACAAACACAUGAAGAUUGCCUGCCCAGAGUUUACAAUUUAAGAUGUUCAACUGUGAGUUUGUUUACAGGCUGGAGACCUCAGAGUUGCUCUUUUCUCCCCUUCAGACUCUUAACAGACACAUCAGCCAAUGCACUAAGACAAAUACAGCUAUUGCAUUCUUUCACAUUGCUUUCAGCUGAGCCGUAUAACUGAGGCCCUGGCUAUUUGUGCCUGUUAAUGAGAAGGGGUGUUAGACCUAUUUACCUAAGUACACUACAUUUCCAUUAGAGAUUGUAUUCUUUAUCACUUACUUUUCUAAAAAUGGCUGUUUAGAAUUUCCAUGCAGUUAAACAGCUGCCAUGUUCCACCCAGCAGUGACUGCAUUUUGAUAGGAAGAAUUCCCUAAUGUAUACAGAUUGCAAAGGAUACUGGGAUCUUUCUGGAGGAAAGGCCUUGCAUAGGGUAGUAUUAUGAGGGAAAAUCUGGAUGCCGUGUCAUGCUCCAACCAGCCUUGUGACAGUUGUGCCUUGAGAAGAGGAGAUUCUCAGUCAGUGAAUGGGGAGUGGAGUAUUGUGAGCAGCAGGGGACCUCAUAGCCCAAGUUUUCCCAGUGUUGCCUAAGGCCUGGCUAUGAAUUUCCAGAUCGCCUCAGGGCAUCGUAAACAGGCAAAAUCAAUAUGAAAGAAAUUCAGUGUCAAGUCUCUUCCAGAUACAGUGACUUAGUAGAAACUUCAGCAGUAUCAAACCUUUCUUGGAGACCACCAUACUUACAGUUGAUGAGGAUAAUGAAAAUUUCUGGAAGUGAUUAAAGGCUGCCACUCUUUUGACAUGUGCUGAGUCCAUUGACUAUGUCACCUGCCAUCACCAAGAUUGGUUUGAUGAGAAUGAUGCUGAAAUUCAGGACCCGCUCAACCAGAAAAGAAAAGCUCAUUGCAUAUGGCAAAACGACGUAUCACAUCAAAAGAAGAAAGUCAUACAAGCAACUCAAGGCUGAAGCCCAAAGGAAAAUCCGUGACAUCAAAAACAAGUGGUGGUGAGAAAAGGCCAAGAAGAUUGAGCUUUCCACUCAUAAACAUGACAUGAGGAGCUUUUUUCAGGCAAUAGGGGCCAUUUACGGUCCAUGCCCCCAUACUCCUAUACCACUCUGAGCCCAAGAUGGGUCAAUGUAUUUUAAAAACAGCUAAGCCAUCAAAGCCAGAUGGAAGGAGCAUUUUGAGUCACUCCUGAAUCAUGAAUCAACUGUUUGAUGCCACUAUGAAUCCAUACCUCAAGACAUGAAAGAGAAUCUCUUGCUGAUCCCACCCCCCCAUCCUCAGAGAAGUACCACGAGCCCACAUGCAAACCAAGAACAACAAGGCAACAGGACCAGAUAGCAUACCAGCUGAAGUCUACAAGUUUGGAGGUGAGGAACUGGUAAAGAAGGUCCACAAACUUUUUAUUCAAAUCUGGUAUAAUGAGAAGAUUCCGGAAGACUUGAGAAAUGCCAACAUUGUUACAAUCUUUAAGAAAAGAGAUAAGUUGGAGGGUGAAAAUUAUGGAGGCAUUGCCUUGCUAUCUACAGCAGGGGAAAUUCUCGCCUGUAUCCUCUUAAACCAAUUACUUCCCUUUGCUGAGGAAAUAUUGCCAGAAUCUCAGUGUGGUUUCAGACCAUCUCACAGGACAACCAACAUGAUCUUCGUUGCCUGCCAAAUCCAGGAAAAGUCUCAGGAGUAAAAUCAGGACCUGUACAUGGCCUUCAACUCCAUCAGUCACAAAGUCAUGUGGAAGGUGCUGGCCAGAUUUGGCUGCCCUCCCAACAUUUUUACGGUCCUAAGACGACUUCAUGAUCAGAUGACUACCACCGUUUUCUAUAAUGGCCUGGAGACGGACCCUUUUGUCAUCAAAACUGGUAAACAAGGAUGUGUUAUUGCACCAACCCUAUUCUCCAUCUAUUUAGCAGUCAUUUUGGUCCUCAUUAAAGACCGCCUCCCUAAUGGAGUUGACAUUCAAUACAGAAUGGAUGGGCAGCUGUUUAAUCUUCAAAGUUUAAAGUCCUCCGGGCAUCCAUUAGUGAUCUUCAGUAUGCUGAUGACUGUGCCAUCCUUGCACGCACUGGGUGACUUUCAAUCCACACUGCAUUUUUUUUUGCACAAGCUUACCAAAGCCUAGGACUCUCACUUAAUAUCAAGAAGACUAAAGUGCUCCAUCAGCCUGCCUCAGGCCUUGUAUGUGACUCACCACAAAUCACCUUUGAGGGACAGACUUUGGAGACAGUCGAGCACUUCUGCUACCUCGGUAGUGAACUCUCUCAAAAUACAAAAAUCGAUAGUGAGAUCCUGCACAGGAUCCGGGGCACAAGUGCUUUCUUUGGGAAAGUGCUCCAACGUCUUUUCAUGGACCGUUACCUACGGAAGGACACCAAGAUCCAGGUCUAUAAGACAAUUGUUAUUCCUAUAUUCCUUUAUGGAUGCGAAAGCUAGAUAUCCUAUCAACAGCACCUCAAGAGUCUGGAGAGGUGCCAUCAGCAAUGGCUCUGGAAGAUCUUUCGCAUCAAGUGGGAAGAUCACUGCACUAAUGCCAGCAUCCUCACUGAAGCCAAUGUUACCGGCAUUGAAGCAAUGAUCCUCAUGCACUAACUCCGCUGGGCUGGACGUUGUGUGUGGAUGCCAGACUCUUGCCUCCCAAAACAAGCCCUCUACUCUCAGCUCACCCAUGGUCAGAGAUCCUGUGGUGGUGAAGGAAACGCUACGAAGAAAACUAAUUGACAUAACAAGCUGGGAGGAGCAAGCCACCAACCAACCUCAAUGGCGCCACGUCGAGGAGAAGUGUCUUGCCCUCUAAGCUGAGAAGAGAGAGAGAAGGAAUUAAAAAGAAAAAACCUUUUUCCCAGUAGGCAGCUGAUCCACCAGAAAAUAUCUGUACCUACUGCAGGCAGAUCCGUGGUUCCCAGAUCGGACUCUUGAGUCAUCUCAGGAUCCAUAUGUAAAUCUGUGGUAGCGAUCAUCCUCAAAUCGAGGGAUCGCUAGUGAUGGAGGCAUUAUUCUAUUGCUAACAGAGCACAAGCACCUGUGAAGUUUCAUAGCCUAGCAACUUUAAUUUAGUCUGCCAGUUAAUUUUUAGCAUCACCUGCCUGCAACUCAGAGAAGUUCAGGUCAAUCAGUCCAGCUGCCUUUCUAAUUCUACUCUCCCAAUUGCACAUCACAAUGUAGAGAACAAAUGGUAAUGGAAAAAUUAGACCUUGUAGAGUAUGAGCACGCUCAAGAUCAGCUGGCUGCUACCUGGAAAUAUCACCUUUACUCUCUUGAAUGUAGCACUGCUCAGCUCAGCAGGCACGGCUAACUCAAUACCUUUUUUUAUUCACCAUCCUUUCCACAUUGUUUCCUUCUAGCUAUGUAUGGCCCCAGCAGCACUGUGGAGACUGGGUGCCAUAUAAUGAAAAAUGAAUUUCAAGAGGAAGAGCUGCCUUCCUUUCCUUAAAAGCAUCUCCCCAGUAUUUGGACAUCUUACCUGUUCCAUGAAGCCAGGUAAUUGGAAGAAAAUACAUCCGUCUGUACUCUCCACAGGAAUCAGAAAACUUAUAUCAACAUGAAACCCAAAUUCUUCACAACACCAGCCAG